rnacentral:ncRNA from 1 species
UGUGCUUGGCUGAUAGCCAAUGGUGCGAAGCUACCAUCUGAGGGAUUAUGACUGAACGCCUCUAAGUCAGAAUCCCGCCUGGAAAGCGACGAUGCAUUCGUGCCUCGGCCUCGAGAGGCGUAGCUAGACGGCCGCGUGGCCGUGGAAAGAGCCCGAUUCCGACCCGAGAGGCCGCGGCAAGAGGCGGCCUCGAAGUCGGUGGAUCCUCCUGCUCGAAAGGCGGGGUGCUAAACCAUUCGCAGACGACCUAGUUGAAGAUCGGGGUGUCGUGAUCACUAGAGCAGUACAUCUCACUGCGAUUUGUUGAGAGUAAGCCUCAAGAUCUGUCGGUUUGU